GCUUUUAUAAUUUAAUAAAAAUAUCAGUCUUGUAAACUGAUCUUGACCUAGUCUGAGAGCUC
rnacentral:tRNA from 1 species